rnacentral:rRNA from 1 species
GACGAACCACCCAAACGUUAUUCGGAAUUACUGGGCUUAAAGGGUGCGUAGGCUGUGCGGAAAGUUGGGUGUGAAAUACCUCAGCUUAACUGAGGAACUGCGCUCAAAACUACCGUGCUCGAGGGAGACAGAGGUGAGCGGAACUUAGGGUGGAGCGGUGAAAUGCGUUGAUAUCCUAAGGAACACCGGUGGCGAAAGCGGCUCACUGGAUCUCUUCUGACGCUGAGGCACGAAAGCGAGGGUAGCGAACGGG